UUGGUUAAGUUAGAAAGGGCGCACGGUGGAUGCCUUGGCACUAGGAGCCGAAGAAGGACGGGACUAACACCGAUAUGCUUUGGGGAGCUGUACGUAAGCGUUGAUCCAGAGAUUUCCGAAUGGGGGAACCCACUAUCUUUAGUCGGAUAGUAUCCUUACGUGAAUACAUAGCGUAAGGAAGGCAGACCCAGGGAACUGAAACAUCUAAGUACCUGGAGGAAGAGAAAGAAAAAUCGAUUUCCUGAGUAGCGGCGAGCGAAACGGAAAGAGCCCAAACCAAGAAGCUUGCUUCUUGGGGUUGUAGGACACUCUAUACGGAGUUACAAAAGAAAGUUAUAAAUGAAGCGGUCUGGAAAGGCCCGCCAAAGACGGUAACAGCCCGGUAGUUGAAAUGGCUUUCCCUCCAGAGUGGAUCCUGAGUACGGCGGAACACGUGAAAUUCCGUCGGAAUCCGGGAGGACCAUCUCCCAAGGCUAAAUACUCCCUAGUGACCGAUAGUGAACCAGUACCGUGAGGGAAAGGUGAAAAGCACCCCGGAAGGGGAGUGAAACAGUUCCUGAAACCGUGUGCCUACAAGUAGUUAGAGCCCGUUAAUGGGUGAUAGCGUGCCUUUUGUAGAAUGAACCGGCGAGUUACGAUUUGUUGCAAGGUUAAGCGGAAAAAGCGGAGCCGUAGCGAAAGCGAGUCUGAAUAGGGCGCAUAAGUAACAGGUCGUAGACCCGAAACCAGGUGAUCUACCCAUGUCCAGGAUGAAGGUAAGGUAAUACUUACUGGAGGUCCGAACCCACGCACGUUGAAAAGUGCGGGGAUGAGGUGUGGGUAGCGGAGAAAUUCCAAUCGAACUUGGAGAUAGCUGGUUCUCUCCGAAAUAGCUUUAGGGCUAGCCUCGAGGUAAAGAGUCAUGGAGGUAGAGCACUGUUUGGACUAGGGGCCCUUCUCGGGUUACCGAAUUCAGAUAAACUCCGAAUGCCAUGUACUUAUACUCGGGAGUCAGACUGCGAGUGAUAAGAUCCGUAGUCGAAAGGGAAACAGCCCAGACCACCAGUUAAGGUCCCCAAAUAUAUGUUAAGUGGAAAAGGAUGUGGGGUUGCUUAGACAACCAGGAUGUUGGCUUAGAAGCAGCCACCAUUGAAAGAGUGCGUAAUAGCUCACUGGUCGAGUGACCCCGCGCCGAAAAUGUACCGGGGCUAAACAUAUUACCGAAACUGUGGAUGAACCUCUUCGGAGGUUCGUGGUAGGAGAGCGUUCUAAGGGCGGUGAAGUCAGACCGGAAGGACUGGUGGAGCGCUUAGAAGUGAGAAUGCCGGUAUGAGUAGCGAAAGAAGGGUGAGAAUCCCUUCCACCGAAUAUCUAAGGUUUCCUGAGGAAGGCUCGUCCGCUCAGGGUUAGUCGGGACCUAAGCCGAGGCCGAUAGGCGUAGGCGAUGGACAACAGGUAGAGAUUCCUGUACCAGUGCUAAUUGUUUAACCGAUGGGGUGACACAGAAGGAUAGGGAAUCGCACGAAUGGAAAUGUGCGUCCAAGCAGUGAGUGUGAGAAGUAGGCAAAUCCGCUUCUCGCGAAGCAUGAGCUGUGAUGGGGAAGGAAAUUAAGUACGGAAGUUCCUGAUUUCACGCUGUCAAGAAAAGCCUCUAGGAAGAGUAGUACUGCCCGUACCGCAAACCGACACAGGUAGAUGAGGAGAGAAUCCUAAGGUGAGCGAGAGAACUCUCGUUAAGGAACUCGGCAAAAUGACCCCGUAACUUCGGGAGAAGGGGUGCUCUAUUAGGGUG
rnacentral:rRNA from 1 species